rnacentral:lncRNA from 1 species
GCCUACUACCAUCACACAUACUUAUGGAACUUCCACUAACCCCGCAGCCACUUGUGCAUGCUAAUCAUACAUAACGUUGGAUUCUAGAGACAAUCGUAUAGUUGAUUCUACCUUAAGCCAACAACAAGACAAGGAACAAGAAAUAAAGCUAAAUCAAACACUCUCAGACUAUAAAAUCUUAGUUCUAUACAACUAUGAUGCACACAUCAAGCAACUACAUUAAUGAUGUGAAUUCCAUCUAACAUACAAGAAAUUCUACUUGGAUAUCAGGCAUCGUACAUCAUAAAAUUCUAUCAUGUAAUUCGUGAAGAUCCCUAGCCUACUACUAGCAUAUUAUUAUAUGAUAAUCAUCGUAAACAAAUAACAUUGUGGGUAACUUGGGGUAUACUUUCCUACUCUGGCUGAUCGUACACAUCUCAUCCUUCUUUGGAUACUUUUGAAAAGAAUUUUGAAAACUUUUAUAGAUUCUUAGUUUGAGUCUGGAUUCACACGAAUGCUCAUCCAAUUCUCUCAAACCAGGGCUCUAAUACCAACUUGUAACAUCUCAAAAAUCACAAUAAAAUUUUCAUUUUUAAUUUAAAUAAAAAUCAUUGUUCCAAUCAAAACCCAAGUCAUAAAGCCAAGUAUCAGACACAAUUAUCCCAAAAUCAGAGUAUCAUAAAGUCUCCAAAAUAUAUCACUGAAGGAUGUGUACGGAUGGGUACAAUCACGCCUUUGCCUUUCCCCUAUCCUCUGAAGUACUUGAAACCAUAAAAUCAAACAUUAAGCCAAAGUUUAGUGAGUUCCCCAAAAGUAACACACACAACCAAACGGAUAACAACAUGAAUAUACGAGCCUUCAACAUGACUGGACUUCCUCGCAUGACCUAUAGCCUAUCAUGACCGCUCUUCGAGCCUUCAGCCUGACUAGACCGCCUUGUAGGGCCUACAACCUAUCCAGAUCGCUCUUUGGGCCUUCGGACUAACUAGACUGCCUUGUAGGGCCUAUAGUCUAUCUGGACCACCCCGGGUAUCUUGGCCUUCAACACAAAUAAGGACUUCCUUGUAGGGCCUACAACCUAUCUGGACCGCUCUUCGAGCCUUCAACCUGAUUAGACCGCCUUACGGGGCCUACAACCUAUCCAGACUGCUCUACGGGCCUUCGACUUGACUGGACUGCCUCACAAGGCCUACAACCUAUCCGGACCUCUCUACAGGCCUUGGCCUGAAUGGACCGCCUCGUAGGGACUACAGUCUAUCCGUACCGCCCCGAGUAUCUUGGCCUUCAGCACAAAGCAGGACCGCAUGAACCCAACAAUAAUAAUAAUAUGUCGACAUGUACAGUAACAUUCAGUAGCCAACAAAUACAGGUAAUCAUACAGAUCUACCAGUCUAUCACAUAUCUAGUAAACAUAGGUAAUUAUACAGAUUUACCAGUCUAUCAUAUAAGCAGCUUAACAUCAUCCAGUAUACCAAGAUACAUAAUCCAGUGGGCCUACGUUGGUGCCUUUGACCCACAAGUACAGUGAGGAAAACUCACCUCACAGUCCGAAUAUAGCUGAAUAGAUCACUGCCCCAAAUGUUGUCUCUACUGGUCACCUAUACAAUAAACAAUGACAUAAACUCAAAUUACUACUCAAAUUACCCAAAAUGCCUCUAAGUCAAAAUUAGUCAAACCCCUAAUCAAAGGUUAAAAGUCGAAGGGGGUCAACAUAAACUGAGUACGCCCUGCAUACUCAGUCAUUACGCUCAAUGUAGUAGAUCAUUUCCAUGUUAUGAGGCUCUAUCUUGGUACGUGCAACGUACCACCAGAUACACCCAUCGUACUCGACCAAUUCCAUUUUCAUCCAUUAAGUGCCUAAUCCAUUAAGAUUUCACGUCCAAAUAUCAUUCUAUGUCAUAAAGUUUCCAACUAUAUGAUUUUCCAUGGCUUGAAGGAGUCUAAAAACCAAAACCCUAACUUAAUACACAAACCAAAGCAUCAUAAAUCUUGCAUGGAGGGAAGAAAGGGACCAAAAUCACAUUUUUAUGGUUCCUAGCACUCACAAACGUCUGAAAGGACAACUCUUACGAUUUAGAGUAAGCCAUACUCAUGGAUACCAAGACUAUGGGGGCCAAAAUGCAUAAAACUUAAGAUCUAGCAAGAUCUAAGGAAACAUUCAUCAAGUUUAUAAUUUUAUACCUUCUGGAGGUUACUUGUAAGGAGAACAACUCAGAUCUACAAGGCUUGAAGCUUUCCAAAAGCACUCCAAAGAUCUUCUUCCUUCAAGGAUGGACACCAAACACACAAAUGGCUCAAAAACUCACAAAUAAACACUAGGGUUUGCCAUCGAUCGAUUUGGGAGGAUACAGACUAGAGGUGGAAAGGGUUAUGAGGGUUAAGGUAUUUUAAAUAGUGCUAAAACCCUAAAAUUAGGGUUUUCUCACCUGCCAAGUACGCCAAACGUACUCAUGAGUACACCUAGUGUACUCACAUACACCCGGGACCCUUUUUAACGAGCUAUGUCGUGCGUACACCCCAAGUACGCAUGACGUAAGGACCAUUUCACAUCAUAUUUAUAUUUUUGGGUUGAAAAGGAAAAAUAUCUGAUUCUGGGUUCUACAAAAACUACAAUGAAAUAUAUUUUGAUUCACAUGUAAAUUUCACUAAAUUAAUUUGUGAAUGAUCAAAAAUUGAAAUAAUAUAUCAGAUUCACAUUGUGAAUGCCAAAAAAUAAUAUUAUAUGCAGAUCACAUUCAUAGUGUGAAUCUGAUUCAUAGUGUGAAUAUGUUAACAGUUUGAAUAUGAUUUUGAGUGUGAAUCUAUUUAAAAAAAUGUGAAAAAAAAUAUUUUUUUUAUAUCGAUAUGAAUGCUAUUUAAAGACUACUAAAAAUUAUAAAUUUUGAUAUAUUUAUUUUAUUUUUUUCGAUAAAAAAAUAAAUGUAAAUAUUCAAAAAAUAACACAAUAAAGUGGAUUUUUUGAAAAAAAAUCGUUUAUAUAUAUAUAUAUAUAUAUAUCAUUACUAUAUAUAAAAGCCUGAUUUUUCUCCUGCCGCCAAAAUCAAAUUUAGUGGGUUUUCUAUCCGCCACGUAAUCUGCCUUGCGAACGACGCCAUUAACAUCAAAGUCGAUUCACCAUGGGAUGCAUCCAGUUCGUCUAAUUUUCUUUUUAAUUUUUGGGGAUCAUCAUAUAUGUUGGGGGACCCUGCUACCAAACGUUUUUCUUAGCAGAGGUGGGGGAUUUCCAUGAACCCGAUGAACCGAUGGGCUUCCCCUUUCCCCUUUUCUUUUAAGCAUAUUCGUGUUGCCCCUUCCCGUUUAUGUUUAUUCUUAUAGGGAAAUCUUUGGAGAUUUUCCCACAACCUUGAGUAAACUCAUUUUUCUCCUUUCGCUAAUAGUAAUUUCAGUUAGAUCAACGGACGCCACGUAACUUACUUCCUGAACGAUGCCAUGGAUAUUAAAGUCAUUACAUCGCCUUAUGUUCCACUAUGGCAUCAGGUGAAAGAUGGUGAAUUGGUGUUCUACACAAGAGUUUCAGAUAGAAGGGUAUAUAUGUCCUCUACUACCGUUUUUGCCUCCCAUUUUGCAAGAAGCCCUCCAGGAACACAUUGCUUCCAUCCUCAUGCCUGCAUCGUCACACCUGUUGUCGUUACCCUGUCCGGUGUACAACCACUCCUUAUCUUCUGUUUCUUUCUUACACUGCUCUUUUUCGAUUUUUUGUUCUUAGUGGCGACACCAUUCUUCACUACGUUUUUCGUUCUAAUAUUGAUGUGGUUUUGCAUGUCCAUGUCCACUUCCAUAUGAUUCCCACUCAUGCACCCUAAUCCUCCAUCACAUUUUUUUAUUUUUCUGAAAACCUCUGUUCAUCUUCAUCUUUGUUUUUGAAAUAAGGGUUUUCUAAUCUUGCUUCCUCUUCUGGUGUUGAUGGUGUAAUUUUUUUUGCCAAAUACUUUUGAUAAUCGAAAACAUUUUUUAUUUUAAUUUUUGUAAUUUGUCGAAAGGGUUAUGGGAUCUCAAAAUUGGCCUUAUUCAAAGACUGAUGCAGAGUUUUUAAUAUCUAAUUAUGCUUUAUAGGGAUGGGUUAAGAAUUGUAGGGGAGGAAGGAAAGCCGACUGCAACUCUAAUUACAGCGAAUUAAGAGUUGGGGGCAAACAAAAAUUUACCUUUCUACAAAAAUUUUAAGUGGGACCGUGAUUCAAAUCUACAUAAGGGAAUUACAUGUCGGUAAAUAGUAAUGACCAUUUCACUUUAUGAUGUGGUGAUUUGGUUCAUCUAUAGAGUAAGUUCAUGCCAACCCUAAAGUUUGAAAGUUAACUUGCAUUCCAGUUGUAUGUCUGUUUGAAAGAUUGCAUUGCAACCCAUUUUUUAAACUGACUAAUCAUUAUUUUGUGGUGUGGUUCCAGAGGAAGUCAAUGCGUAGAUAUUAUUUCUUAUAUAUUAUACAUUUUUAUCUUUAAUGAUGAAGGAUCCUUUUCUUGCCUCCAUCUUUGUUUCUGACAUGGCAAUGAAGAUGAAUGAAUUGCUAGGGACCGUAGACCAUAUGGAUCUUGUGAGAUAAGAUUUAUUAAAAAUGGAGAAACACCCACCAUUUUUUGAUCUACAAAUUUAAAAUAGAUUCCAAUGGGAUAGAUUUGGUGGAGUGAAAGGGCAUUUUAGGAAUUAAAGAACAUAGUUCUCUAUUUUAAGGGUAAGUGUUUAGGUUUUGAAGGGAAUAUAUUGUCGAUAUGUUUGGUGGUUCUAAUCCAUUUUUGGGUGUUUUGUUCAUUAACCCAUAAAAUAAUCAGGUAUAGCUAGGGUACUGCCAAGAUGAGGCAACAAGUUCAAAUUUUGUGUGUUAUGGUCUUCAAACUAGGUUUCUUGCUCUUCUAAAGGAGCACAACAGUAAGCAUGUCAUUCUGUCUAGCUUGCAGUCCCUUAGUAAUGAAGAUGAUAAGGUUUGAAUUUUCUUCCUUAGUCUUAGGUUUAGUUUGUUUAAAGUGUUAUUGAUUGGAAUUGGUGCAAUUUUUAAGACGUUAAUUAAUUCAUCCGCUUUAAUAAAUUCUAAAAAGUUCUUUGUUUAGGAAAUGUAGUCUUGAAGCAUAAUUACAUGAUGGACAUAGGUUGUUUGAAAGAGAAGUCAGACCUACUAUUGCAAUUAAAGGCAUUAUUGGCAUUUUGAACACCGGUAUUUUCUUAUCUAAUGGCAUUGUUUUAUAGGUUUAGGGCUAAUGCGUGCUUUUAGGGCAUUCUCUCUUCAAUUUUUGUAAAUUAAUCAUGGCUAGAUGAAUAAAAUGCAGGUAAUAUUACUUUGUUCUAGACCUUGUGUAACAUCCAAAAUUUCAAAACAAUUGAAACUUUUCAAAGUCAUCCAUUUUAUUAACGUUGUUACAAAAGGUUUUCAAUACAUUAUUAAACAGAGUAAUUUCCCAGGUUCAUAUCAUAAAACACCAAUGCGAGGAACGGUACGAUCACGCCUUUGCCUUGCCACAGACUCUUGAGAACCUGAAACAUAAAACCACAACUGUAAGCCUGAAAGCUUAGUGAGAUACCCCCAAUAUACCAAUCACAUAUACGCCCUUCUAGGCCACGACCUUCCGGUCCAUACAUAUCGCCUUCCGGCCCAUAACAUAUUGCCUUCCGGCCCAUAAGCAUAAAAUGCAUAGAUAACAUAACAAAUAAUCAUAUAGCAGUUCAUAGACAACAAUCGAUCAACAGAUCACAUAUCAUAGCAUUACUCUAACAAGAUACCGGUCUAGCCGGUCACUAUCAUAACCUUACCUUACGAAUCAGUCAACAUACUAAAUGCAUACAUACGCCUUUCCAGGCCAUGACCUUCCGGUCCACAUAGCAAUGCCUUCCGGCCCAUAACAUGUAAU